CCCUUAGAUGUCCGGGGCCGCACGCGCGCUACAAUGGAUGAAUCAACGCGUCAUCCUGGCCCGAAAGGGUUGGGGAACCGCUGAACCUCAUCCGUGGUUGGGAUUGGGGUUUGUAAUUAUUCCCCAUGAACUAGGAAUUCCCAGUAAGCACGAGUCAUAAGCUCGCGUUGAUUACGUCCCUGCCCUUUGUACACACCGCCCGUCGCUACUACCGAUUGGGUGAUCCGGUGAAUAAUUCGGACUGCGGCAUUGACCGGUUCCCGAUCGUUGCUGCGGAAAGUUUAGUGAACCUUAUCACUUAGAGGAAGGAGAAGUCGUAACA
rnacentral:rRNA from 1 species